CUACAUGAUGAACCUUGUUGUCG
rnacentral:snoRNA from 1 species